rnacentral:rRNA from 1 species
UGGAGGAAAASUAGGGGAUCGCAAGACCUUGCGCUUUUGGAGCGGCCGAUGUCUGAUUAGCUAGUUGGUGAGGUAAAGGCUUACCAAGGCGUCGAUCAGUAGCUGGUCUGAGAGGACGACCAGCCACACUGGGACUGAGACACGGCCCAGACUCCUACGGGAGGCAGCAGUGGGGAAUUUUGGACAAUGGGGGAAACCCUGAUCCAGCCAUGCCGCGUGAGUGAAGAAGGCCUUCGGGUUGUAAAGCUCUUUCAGCCGGAACGAAACGGUCACGGCUAAUACCUGUGACYACUGACGGUACCGGAAGAAGAAGCACCGGCUAACUACGUGCCAGCAGCCGCGGUAAUACGUAGGGUGCAAGCGUUAAUCGGAAUUACUGGGCGUAAAGCGUGCGCAGGCGGUUUUGUAAGUCAGAUGUGAAAUCCCCGGGCUUAACCUGGGAACUGCGUUUGAAACUACCAAAGCUAGA